rnacentral:rRNA from 1 species
ACGAACGCUGGCGGCGUGCUUAACACAUGCCAGUCGCACGGAAAGGCUCCAGCUUGCUGGAGUGCUCGCGUGGCGAACGGGUGAGUAACACGUGGGCAAUCUGCCCUGCACUCUGGGAUAAGCCUGGGAAACUGGGUCUAAUACCGGAUAGGACCUUUCUCCUCAUGGGGUUUGGUGGAAAGUUUUUCGGUGCAGGAUGAGCCCGCGGCCUAUCAGCUUGUUGGUGGGGUAAUGGCCUACCAAGGCGACGACGGGUAGCCGGCCUGAGAGGGUGAUCGGCCACAUUGGGACUGAGAUACGGCCCAGACUCCUACGGGAGGCAGCAGUGGGGAAUAUUGCACAAUGGGCGAAAGCCUGAUGCAGCGACGCCGCGUGAGGGAUGACGGCCUUCGGGUUGUAAACCUCUUUCAGUAGGGACGAAGCGCAAGUGACGGUACCUGCAGAAGAAGCACCGGCUAACUACGUG